AACGAACGCUGGCGGCAUGCCUAACACAUGCAAGUCGAACGAGACCUUCGGGUCUAGUGGCGCACGGGUGCGUAACGCGUGGGAACCUGCACUUAGGUUCGGAAUAACUCUCCGACAGGGGUGCUAAUACCGGAUAAUGGCUUCGGACCAAAGAUUUAUCGCCUUUGGAUGGGCCCGCGUUGGAUUAGCUAGUUGGUAGGGUAAAAGCCUACCACGGCGACGAUCCAUAGCUGGUCUGAGAGGAUGAUCAGCCACACUGGGACUGAGACACGGCCGAGACUCCUACGGGAGGCAGCAGUGGGGAAUAUUGGAAAAUGGGCGAAAGGCUGAUGCAGCAAUGCCGCGUGAGUUAUGAAGGCCUUAGGGUUGUAAAGCUCUAUUACCCGGGAUGAUAAUGACAGUACCGGGAGAAUAAGCUCCGGCUAACUCCGUG
rnacentral:rRNA from 1 species